UGGGGGGAACAAAUGCGCGCUGGCGGCGUGCCUAUACAUGCAAGUCGAGCGAAUCGAUGGGAGCUUGCUCCCUGAGAUUAGCGGCGGACGGGUGAGUAACACGUGGGCAACCUGCCUAUAAGACUGGGAUAACUUCGGGAAACCGGAGCUAAUACCGGAUACGUUCUUUUCUCGCAUGAGAGAAGAUGGAAAGACGGUUUACGCUGUCACUUAUAGAUGGGCCCGCGGCGCAUUAGCUAGUUGGUGAGGUAAUGGCUCACCAAGGCGACGAUGCGUAGCCGACCUGAGAGGGUGAUCGGCCACACUGGGACUGAGACACGGCCCAGACUCCUACGGGAGGCAGCAGUAGGGAAUCUUCCGCAAUGGACGAAAGUCUGACGGAGCAACGCCGCGUGAACGAAGAAGGCCUUCGGGUCGUAAAGUUCUGUUGUUAGGGAAGAACAAGUACCAGAGUAACUGCUGGUACCUUGACGGUACCUAACCAGAAAGCCACGGCUAACUACGUGCCAGCAGCCGCGGUAAUACGUAGGUGGCAAGCGUUGUCCGGAAUUAUUGGGCGUAAAGCGCGCGCAGGUGGUUCCUUAAGUCUGAUGUGAAAGCCCACGGCUCAACCGUGGAGGGUCAUUGGAAACUGGGGAACUUGAGUGCAGAAGAGGAAAGUGGAAUUCCAA
rnacentral:rRNA from 2 species